rnacentral:tRNA from 1 species
GGGAAUGUGACUCAGUGGUAGAGUGCUUGCCUAGCAUGCAUGAAGCCCUAGGUUUGAUUCCUCAGUACCA